rnacentral:rRNA from 1 species
CCUACGGGAGGCAGCAGUGAGGAAUAUUGGUCAAUGGGCGCGAGCCUGAACCAGCCAAGUAGCGUGAAGGAUGACUGCCCUACGGGUUGUAAACUUCUUUUAUAAAGGAAUAAAGUGAGGCACGUGUGCCUUUUUGUAUGUACUUUAUGAAUAAGGAUCGGCUAACUCCGUGCCAGCAGCCGCGGUAAUACGGAGGAUCCGAGCGUUAUCCGGAUUUAUUGGGUUUAAAGGGAGCGUAGAUGGGUUGUUAAGUCAGUUGUGAAAGUUUGCGGCUCAACCGUAAAAUUGCAAUUGAUACUGGCAGCCUUGAGUACAGUUGGGGUAGGCGGAAUUCGUGGUGUAGCGGUGAAAUGCUUAGAUAUCACGAAGAACUCCGAUUGCGAAGGCAGCUUACUGGACUGCAACUGACACUGAGGCUCGAAGGUGUGGGUAUCAAACGGGAUUAGAUACCCGAGUAGUC